ACAGCAAAGUAGCAACAUGAAAUGACGGAGCAAGCAAAUAAAAUAAAUACAAUUGACAAAGCAGGGAAAACCACAAAACGCACCUAAAAACUACCAAGACCAUAAAAAAGAAGAAAAACCGCCCUAAGCCAACAAAACAGCAGCUCUCUACAAGCCAAAUAUCAGCCAAACAACUUUAUUCGCCUUCUGAGAAAAAAAUCGAGACUGGUAAAAGAACAAAAACGAAUGCUUUGAAUCCAAAACUGGAGAUUCAGUGAACCUUCUCCUCUUUCAAAGCAAAUCAAAGGGAACCAUGAUGACUCUGGUUCCAAGCCAGACAAUCCUUCAUCGCCAUCAUCUUCACAGAAUUAGGCAUUCCAUCAACCCAAACCCCAAAAAACUAUCUUCUCUGUCCUUCCAAUGCUAAAGUGUGAGCCGCUCCAUUAACCAUUCAGGGUACAAAUAGGGAAUCACUUUUCACAAUCAGACGCCGGCACCUGCCAAAAGUAAUGCCCUUUUGGCAUACCCUUGCUUCUGCCACAAAGGCAUCAACAACAUCCUCAAAAAGAUAAGUUUCUGCCCCUACAAUUUCCCCUUCUGAGUCUCUGGCUAAAACUUCCCCUUCUGAGUCUCUAGCUAAAACUACUAUUAUAGCUAGUCUAGCUUCACUUUGAAAAGCCGCAUCAAAGUUUAACUUAAUAACACCAGCAUCUGAGGGUCUUCAAAGUUCUUUUGCCAUGGAACUACAAGACGGACUAAGGUUCACUUGAAAAAAGUGUUAGCGAAACGAUUCUUGCAACACGUCAAAGCUUCAAUUGACAGAAUCGUAAUGUUUAAAGAUGCCCAUAUACGCUGUAUAAUACCACAAGACCACAUCAGAUGAUCAGCAUCCUCCGGAUCUUUCUUGCACAAGGGAGAGACAAUUUCAACACUCAAAUUUCUACGUGUCAGAUUGCAGAAAUGAGGCAAAAAAUUAUCAAACAGCCUCCAUAUGUGUAUUUUGAUUUUUUCUAGAAUGUGCAUAGCCCAUAAUGAUUUGUAAAAUUCAUUGUAGUAAUCAAUAUUAGGGAAAGUGACUGUAGUAUUCUAUAGGUGCUCCGUAGAAAGAACUCGAUACCCACUUUUCACUGUAUAUUCCCCCGAGCCUUCAUAUUUCCAAACCAUCAUGUCUUCUGAACCACCCCUAGAUAUAGGAAUGGAGAAAAUACGCACUGCUGUAGCUGCAUUAACUAUAUUAAGAACCAGCUCUUUAUUCCAA